rnacentral:rRNA from 1 species
GACGAACGCUGGCGGCGUGCUUAACACAUGCAAGUCGAACGGAAAGGCCCUGCUUUUGUGGGGUGCUCGAGUGGCGAACGGGUGAGUAACACGUGAGUAACCUGCCCUUGACUUUGGGAUAACUUCAGGAAACUGGGGCUAAUACCGGAUAGGAGCUCCUGCUGCAUGGUGGGGGCUGGAAAGUUUCGGCGGUUGGGGAUGGACUCGCGGCUUAUCAGCUUGUUGGUGGGGUAGUGGCUUACCAAGGCUUUGACGGGUAGCCGGCCUGAGAGGGUGACCGGGCACAUGGGGACUGCGAUACGGCCCAGACUCCUACGGGGGGCAGCAGUGGGGAAUAUUGCACAGUGGGCGGAAGCCUGAUGCAGCAGCGCCGCGUGCGGGAUGACGGCCUUCGGGUUGUAAACCGCUUUCGCCUGUGACGAAGCGUGAGUGACGGUAAUGGAUAAAGAAGCACCGGCUAACUACGUG